AGUGAACGCUGGCGGUAGGCCUAACACAUGCAAGUCGAACGGCAGCACAGAGGAGCUUGCUCCUUGGGUGGCGAGUGGCGGACGGGUGAGGAAUACAUCGGAAUCUACUCUGUCGUGGGGGAUAACGUAGGGAAACUUACGCUAAUACCGCAUACGACCUACGGGUGAAAGCAGGGGACCUUCGGGCCUUGCGCGAUUGAAUGAGCCGAUGUCGGAUUAGCUAGUUGGCGGGGUAAAGGCCCACCAAGGCGACGAUCCGUAGCUGGUCUGAGAGGAUGAUCAGCCACACUGGAACUGAGACACGGUCCAGACUCCUACGGGAGGCAGCAGUGGGUAAUAUUGGACAAUGGGCGCAGGCCUGAUCCAGCCAUACCGCGUGGGUGAAGAAGGCCUUCGGGUUGUAAAGCCCUUUUGUUGGGAAAGAAAUCCAGCUGGCUAAUACCCGGUUGGGAUGACGGUACCCAAAGAAUAAGCACCGGCUAACUUCGUGCCAGCCGCCGCAGUAA
rnacentral:rRNA from 1 species